AAGAAAGGAAACAAAAAUAGCAACUCUGAUUGCCUCUUUGAUUUUCUGAUCGUUUCAAACACACGCACCUACAGCUCCAGCAUCUGUAAAUGUUUUACUUUAUUUGAUCCCUUACAGCAGAAUCCUUUUGUUACUAUUGUCAUCAUCAAAACACUUACCGGAGUCAGCAUGAGCAGGAUGUGGCCCUAAGUAUAUUAAAACCACAGAUACCCCUUUACGGGCUUAAAAAAAAUGAGGCAGCUUUGCAAAUGGAAACAUGUACAAAACAUGCUGCAGCACAUUUGUAAACAUUCCUAUGAGUAUUCUUUUGGCAGUGCAGAACUUGUUUUUUUUUUACAAUUACGAAUCAAGUACAAAGACAAAUAUUCAUAUGAGUAACAGUAACUGGAGGGGCUAAAAAUUCAGCCAGUGAAAUACCAGCACAAUAAGAAAUUAAGACAUUUAAAACUGGGUAAGGUAAGCUUAUAGGACACAAUAAGGAAGUGAAGUGUACAAGACUCCUCCAUAACAGAAGUCAAAGUCAUCUAAAAAUUAACUCACUCUGUAGUUCCUGGGUUUUGCUCUUCUCUUCCUUCCACACCAUUGUCUUUCCUCUUCUGUCUCUCCUCCUAGACUGCUUGUGUGCGCUCUCUCUUAGACUAACAAAUCUAUAAAUGUAAAGUUUUGUUUUUUCUUCUUUAUUCAUCUUUGCGUGACACUUUCUUUUCUGAUUCUACCUUUUAUGCCAGCUUCUGCUUCUUCCAUUCAAUUUUUACUCCCCUUUAUUAUCCCCUCCUAUUUCUAUUCUCCCCUUCAUAUUUUUUCUGUUCUUAAGUAAAACCAGAGGUUUAACAUGGCAUCCCCCUUUCAGAACCUUUUUUUGCAACUUUUUACUCUAUUCUCCUCACUUUCUAUUCCUUUGCACCCUCCUUUCAUUUAUUCCGCUUGCACUUCAGGUCUUAAUGCCUCUAUGGUCAUUCUAACCCUCAGCAUCUUGGUAGGAAGCAAAGUAACCCAGAAAAGCAGGGUAUAGCAACAUCUCAUAAAGUGUCUCAAAAA